GCUUAACACAUGCAAGUCGAACGGUACAGGACUAGCUUGCUAGUUGCUGACGAGUGGCGGACGGGUGAGUAACGCGUAGGAAUCUGCCCAUCUGAGGGGGAUACCAGUUGGAAACGACUGUUAAUACCGCAUAGUAUCUGUGGAUUAAAGGUGGCUUUUGGGCUGUCGCAGAUGGAUGAGCCUGCGUUGGAUUAGCUAGUUGGUGAGGUAARGGCCUACCAAGGCUACGAUCUAUAGCUGAUUUGAGAGGAUGAUCAGCCACAUUGGGACUGAGACACGGCCCAAACUCCUACGGGAGGCAGCAGUGAGGAAUAUUGGACAAUGGGGGCAACCCUGAUCCAGCAAUGCCAUGUGUGUGAAGAAAGCCUUAGGGUUGUAAAGCACUUUAGUUGGGGAAGAAAGCUUUGAGGUUAAUAGCCUUGAGGAAGGACGUUACCCAAAGAAUAAGCACCGGCUAACUCCGUGCCAGCAGCCGCGGUAAUACGGGGGGUGCAAGCGUUAAUCGGAAUUACUGGGUGUAAAGGGUCUGUAGGUGGUUUGUUAAGUCAGAUGUGAAAGCCCAAGGCUUAACCUUGGAACUGCAUUUGAUACUGGCAAACUAGAGUACGGUAGAGGAAUGGGGAAUUUCUGGUGUAGCGGUGAAAUGCGUAGAGAUCAGAAGGAACACCAAUGGCGAAGGCAACAUUCUGGACCGAUACUGACACUGAGGGACGAAAGCGUGGGGAUCAAACRGGAUUAGAUACCCUGGUAGUCCACGCUGUAAACGAUGAGUACUAGCUGUUGGGGUCGGUGUAAAGGCUCUAGUGGCGCAGCUAACGCGAUAAGUACUCCGCCUGGGGACUACGGCCGCAAGGCUAAAACUCAAAGGAAUUGACGGGGACCCGCACAAGCGGUGGAGCAUGUGGUUUAAUUCGAUGCAACGCGAAGAACCUUACCUGGUCUUGACAUCCUGCGAUCUUUCUAGAGAUAGAUUGGUGCCUUCGGGAACGCAGUGACAGGUGCUGCACGGCUGUCGUCAGCUCGUGUUGUGAAAUGUUGGGUUAAGUCCCGCAACGAGCGCAACCCCUAUUGAUAGUUACCAUCAUUAAGUUGGGUACUCUAUUGAGACUGCCGCUGACAAGGCGGAGGAAGGUGGGGACGACGUCAAGUCAUCAUGGCCCUUACGACCAGGGCUACACACGUGCUACAAUGG
rnacentral:rRNA from 1 species